rnacentral:rRNA from 1 species
UGCACCUACGGGGCGCAGCAGUGAGGAAUCUUGGUCAAUCGCCGGAAGGCUGAACCAGCCAAGCCGCGUGAAGGACGAAGGUGCCAAGCAUUGUAAACUUCUUUUGUCAAGGGACAAAAUCAGGCUCGAGAGCCUGACCGAGGGUACUUGAAGAAAAAGCAUCGGCUAACUCCGUGCCAGCAGCCGCGGUAAUACGGAGGAUGCGAGCGUUAUCCGGAUUUAUUGGGUUUAAAGGGUGCUUAGGCG